rnacentral:rRNA from 1 species
AACGAACGCUGGCGGCGUGGAUAAGACAUGCAAGUCGAGCGGGAACUUUUUUGGUAGCAAUACCGAAAAAGUUCUAGCGGCGAACGGGUGCGUAACACGUGGACAAUCUGCCUUAAAGUGGGGGGAUAGCUCGGCGAAAGCCGAAUUAAUACCGCAUGUGAUGAGAGACGACAUCGUCUUGAAAUCAAAGCCGGGGCAACCUGGCGCUUUUUGAGGAGUCCGCGGCCUAUCAGCNGUUGGUGAGGUAACGGCUCACCAAGGCUAUGACGGGUAGCUGGUCUGAGAGGACGACCAGUCACACUGGAACUGAGACACGGCCCAGACACCUACGGGUGGCAGCAGUCGAGAAUUUUUGACAAUGGGGGUAACCCUGAUCGAGCGACGCCGCGUGGAGGAUGAAGGUCUUCGGGUUGUAAACUCCUGUCAUUUGAGAACAAGGUGCACCGGUUAACUGCCGGUGCAUUGAUAGUAUCAGAAGAGGAAGAGACGGCUAACUCUGUG